rnacentral:rRNA from 1 species
GUACCUUUUGUAUAAUGGGUCAGCGACUUAUAUUCAGUAGCGAGGUUAACCGUAUAGGGGAGCCGUAGAGAAAUCGAGUCUUAAUAGGGCGUUUAGUUGCUGGGUAUAGACCCGAAACCAGGCGAUCUAUCCAUGAGCAGGUUGAAGGUUGGGUAACACUAACUGGAGGACCGAACCCACUGUCGUUGAAAAGCCAGGGGAUGACUUGUGGAUAGGGGUGAAAGGCUAAUCAAGCCUGGUGAUAGCUGGUUCUCCCCGAAAGCUAUUUAGGUAGCGCCUCGGACGAAUACCAUAGGGGGUAGAGCACUGUUUCGGCUAGGGGGUCAUCCCGACUUACCAAACCGAUGCAAACUCCGAAUACCUAUGAGUACUAUCCGGGAGACAGACUGCGGGUGCUAACGUCCGUAGUCAAGAGGAAAACAAUCCAGACCGCCAGCUAAGGCCCCAAAAUCAUAGUUAAGUGGGAAACGAUGUGGGAAGGCAUAGACAGCUAGGAGGUUGGCUUAGAAGCAGCCACCCUUUAAAGAAAGCGUAAUAGCUCACUAGUCGAGUCGGCCUGCGCGGAAGAUGUAACGGGGCUAAAACUAUGUGCCGAAGCUGCGGAUUUGACUUUUAGUCAAGUGGUAGGGGAGCGUUCUGUAAGCCGAUGAAGGUGUAUUGAGAAGUAUGCUGGAGGUAUCAGAAGUGCGAAUGCUGACGUGAGUAACGACAAAACGGGUGAAAAACCCGUUCGCCGAAAGACCAAGGGUUCCAGUCCAACGUUAAUCGGGGCUGGGUGAGUCGACCCCUAAGGCGAGGCCGAAAGGCGUAG